UGGGGAAUAUUGGACAAUGGGCGCAAGCCUGAUCCAGCAAUGCCGCGUGUGUGAAGAAGGCCUGCGGGUUGUAAAGCACUUUAAGCAGGAAAGAAGGGGUGGGAGUUAAUACCUUUCAUCAUUGACGUUACCUGCAGAAUAAGCACCGGCUAACUCCGUGCCAGCAGCCGCGGUAAUACGGAGGGUGCAAGCGUUAAUCGGAAUUACUGGGCGUAAAGCGCGCGUAGGCGGUUUGCUAAGUCUGUCGUGAAAGCCCUGGGCUUAACCUGGGAACUGCGGUGGAUACUGUCAAGCUAGAGUGUGGUAGAGGGCAGUGGAAUUUCCGGUGUAGCAGUGAAAUGCGUAGAGAUCGGAAGGAACACCAGUGGCGAAGGCGGCUGCCUGGACCAACACUGACGCUGAGGUGCGAAAGCGUGGGGAGCAAACAGG
rnacentral:rRNA from 1 species